rnacentral:rRNA from 1 species
CCAGACUCCUACGGGAGGCAGCAGUGGGGAAUAUUGCACAAUGGGGGGAACCCUGAUGCAGCGACGCCGCGUGGGUGAAGAAGUAUUUCGGUAUGUAAAGCCCUAUCGGCAGGGAAGAAAUUGGACGGUACCUGACUAAGAAGCCCUGGCUAACUACGUGCCAGCAGCCGCGGGAAUACGUAGGGGGCAAGCGUUAUCCGGAUUCACUGGGUGUAAAGGGAGCGUAGACGGCCAGACAAGUCUGAAGUGAAAAUCCAGCGCUUAACGUUGGAAGUGCUUUGGAAACUGCCGGGCUGGAGUGCAGGAGGGGCAGGCGGAAUUCCUAGUGUAGCGGUGAAAUGCGUAGAUAUUAGGAGGAACACCAGUGGCGAAGGCGGCCUGCUGGACUGCAACUGACGUUGAGGCUCGAAGGCGUGGGGAGCAAACAGGAUUAGAUACCCGAGUA